rnacentral:rRNA from 1 species
AGAGUUUGAUCCUGGCUCAGGACGAACGCUGGCGGCGCGCCUAAUCCAUGCAAGUCGAGCGACGCAUUCCUUAGCCCGUAAGGGCGGGUUUGACGGAGCGGCGAACGGGUGCGUAACACGUGACCAAUCUGCCCCGAAGACCGGGAUAGCCCGGGGAAACCCGGAUUAAUACCGGAUGAUCUCACCACCACGCAUGUGGAGGUGAGCAAAGGCUCAGGCGCUUCGGGAUGAGGUCGCGGCCCAUCAGCUUGUUGGUGAGGUAACGGCUCACCAAGGCAAUUACGGGUAGCUGGUCUGAGAGGACGAUCAGCCACACUGGAACUGAGAUACGGUCCAGACUCCUACGGGAGGCAGCAGGAGGGAAUCUUGCGCAAUGGGCGAAAGCCUGACGCAGCGACGCCGCGUGGGGGAUGAAUGCCUUAGGGUUGUAAACCCCUUUCACGAGGGAAGAAACUGACGGUACCUCGAGAAGAAGCCCCGGCCAACUACGUGCCAGCAGCCGCGGUAAUACGUAGGGGGCGAGCGUUGUCCGGAUUUAUUGGGCGUAAAGGGCUCGUAGGCGGCUUGGCAAGUCGGCCGUGAAAACCCAGGGCUCAACUCUGGGACGCCGGUCGAUACUGCCAUGGCUAGGGUCCGGUAGAGGGGAAUGGAAUUCCCGGUGUACCG